AGCAGCCGCGGUAAUUCCAGCUCCAAUAGCGUAUAUUAAAGUUGUUGCAGUUAAAAGCUCGUAGUUGAAUUUCGGGAUCAGUAUGUUGGUCGUGCUUCGGUACGUACUGUCAUUACUGGUUUCUACCUUCUGAAGAACCUUGAUGUCAUUAAUUUGGUGUCUUGGGGAAUCAGGACUGUUACUUUGAAAAAAUUGAGUGUUUAAAGCAAGCAUACGCUUGAAUACAUUAGCAUGGAAUAAUGAAAUAGGACGUUUGAUUCUAUUUUGUUGGUUUCUAGGAUCGACGUAAUGAUUAAUAGGGAUAGUUGGGGGCAUUAGUAUUCAAUUGUCAGAGGUGAAAUUCUUGGAUUUAUUGAAGACUAACUACUGCGAAAGCAUUUGCCAAGGAUGUUUUCAUUAAUCAAGAACGAAAGUUAGGGAUCGAAGACGAUCAGAUACCGUCGUAGUCUU
rnacentral:rRNA from 1 species